UACGUAGGUGGCAAGCGUUGUCCGGAUUUAUUGGGUUUAAAGGGUGCGUAGGCGGCCCUGUAAGUCAGUGCUGAAAUAUCCCGGCUUAACCGGGGAGGGUGGCAUUGAUACUGCAGGGCUUGAGUACAGAUGAAGUAGGCGGAAUUGACGGUGUAGCGGUGAAAUGCAUAGAUAUCGUCAAGAACACCCGAUAGCGAAGGCAGCUUACUAGCUGUAACUG
rnacentral:rRNA from 1 species